rnacentral:rRNA from 1 species
UACCAGCACCCCGAGUGGUCGGGACGAUUAUUGGGCCUAAAGCAUCCGUAGCCGGUCCUACAAGUCUUCCGUUAAAUCCACCUGCUUAACAGAUGGGCUGCGGAAGAUACUAUAGGGCUAGGAGGCGGGAGAGGCAAGCGGUACUCAGUGGGUAGGGGUAAAAUCCUCUGAUCCAUUGAAGACCACCAGUGGCGAAGGCGGCUUGCCAGAGCGCGCUCGACGGUGAGGGAUGAAAGCUGGGGGAGCAAACCGG